ACUCAAAUGAAUUGACGGGGGCCCGCACAAGCGGCGGAGCAUGCGGAUUAAUUCGAUGCAACGCGAAGAACCUUACCAAGGCUUGACAUGGGCCGGACCGGGCUGGAAACAGUCCUUCCCUUCGGGGCCGGUUCACAGGUGGUGCAUGGUUGUCGUCAGCUCGUGUCGUGAGAUGUUGGGUUAAGUCCCGCAACGAGCGCAACCCUCGUUCCAUGUUGCCAGCGCGUAAUGGCGGGGACUCAUGGGAGACUGCCGGGGUCAACUCGGAGGAAGGUGGGGACGACGUCAAAUCAUCAUGCCCCUUAUGUCUUGGGCUUCACGCAUGCUACAAUGGCCGGUACAAUGGGUUGCGAUACUGUGAGGUGGAGCUAAUCCCAAAAAGCCGGUCUCAGUUCGGAUUGGGGUCUGCAACUCGACCCCAUGAAGUCGGAGUCGCUAGUAAUCGCAGAUCAGCAACGCUGCGGUGAAUACGUUCCCGGGCCUUGCACACACCGCCCGU
rnacentral:rRNA from 1 species